CAGACCAAACGCACCUUUAGAACACCAGCCAAUGGAGCCACCAACAAAGUGAGAAAGGCGAAUUUUAUUAGAAUUCCUUACACUUUAUUCAUUUGAAUGAUAUAUUGUACAGUAUUUCUCUCUCCUAGUUUAAAAGAGACACCCUGGGCCAAGGAAGCUCCAGAGAAUGUUCUUAGCCCUGGCUGCACAUUUGCAUCACCUGGAAACUUUGUUAAACAAAUUCUCAAAACUAGUGGGUGAAAGUUUGAUAAGAAACAGGAUAUUAACAUAAUCUUUAGGUAUCUCUCUGCAAGAUACUUAGGGUUAUAAAGAGAAAAAUAGAAACAUUACAGUGGAGAAGGCUGACAGACACCACCUUAACCAGGUGGUCAAAGUUAACAUAUUGGAAUGGGACAAACUGGCAUUGUGGGCCUGCUGAUAUGACACACCAUCACUUCUGUGGUAUUUCUGCCCCAAGUGUGUAACUUGGAUCUAAUAAAGAAGAACAUCAGACAAACCUCAAUUUGAGGGACAUUCUGCAAAAUAACUGGCCUGUGAUCCUCAAAAAUGUCACUGCCAUGUCAGACAAAAACAAGAAAAAUUGAGGAUUAAAGCAUUUCUGGCUUCAUCUACACAAGAAGGAGGUGAAAUCGGAUGAUUAAUCUGUAGUCUCCUUGGAAGGGCCAGGAGGGUAUCUCCAAGUGUAUGGGAGCAAAGAGCCAAUGAGACCAUGCUGCUCCUGCCUCAGGACCUUUGCACUGGCUAUUCCCUCUGUUGGAAUGCUCUUCUCUAGGCAUCUGCAUACCAUGCCCAGCCCCAUGUUCAACGUACACUUCUCAGUGAAGUCUUCUCUGGCCACCACAUCUAGAAUUGAGCCCCACUCCUACAUCACCCAUUCUCCUUCUCAGCUAUAUUUUUCCCUGUAACACUUACCAUCAUCGAACCUGCUACAGCUCUUAUUUCCCAUAUUUAUUGUCAGUCUAUCCUCAUUAGAAUAGAGAAUAUCACAUUAUCCUCCUGCAGUGAUUGGCUUAGGGAUGGUCAUGUGACCCAGUCAGAAUCAAGAAGAAACAAGAUUGUGCUGGAACCUUGAGAGACCAGCACAUUCUCUUGUUCAGUUGAUCUUGAGCCUGUGAGGAUGUGAGCCUAGCUUUGCUGAGUACCUAAUGAAUGAAGCUUGUAUAGCAGAAGGCAGAGCCAAAUGGGGGAGCAGACCAAGGCUGAAGGCAUUAUUUGAGGUCCUGUAUCAAGAUGUAAUGUCUUCUUCUCAGAUGCCCUGUGAGUACGCCCAAGCUAGCCUGCUGGGAGAGGAGAGACUGUGUGGAUGGAGCCCAGAGUCCCGGCCAAGCUCGUUGUAGCCCAGCCUUCAGCAAGCCAAUUCCAUCAAAAGUGAGAGAGACCAGCCGAGGUCUGUAGAACAGCCUGCCCCAACUACAGAUGACCACAGAUGCGUGAAUGAGCCCAGCUAAGACCAGGAGAGCUGUUCAGCUCACCUGUAGAUUCAUGAGAAGUAAUAAAUACUUACUGCUUUAA